GCAGCCGCGGUAAUUCCAGCUCCAAUAGCGUAUAUUAAAGUUGUUGCAGUUAAAAAGCUCGUAGUUGAAUUUCGGGGUCAGUAGGUCGGUCGUGCCACGGGUAUGUACUGGUCUCACUGAUUCCUCCUUCCUGAUGAACCGUAAUGCCAUUAAUUUGGUGUUGCGGGGAAACUGGACUGUUACUUUGAAAAAAUUAGAGUGUUUAAAGCAGGCUAACGCUUGAAUACAUUAGCAUGGAAUAAUGAAAUAGGACGUUCGAUCCUAUUUUGUUGGUUUCUAGGAUUGACGUAAUGAUUAAUAGGGAUAGUUGGG
rnacentral:rRNA from 1 species